AUGUCGCUCUCCACUCUCAACCACCCCGCCGCCGCCGCCGCCGCCGGGCGGGGGAGGUCCUUCUCCCCGGCCGCCCCGGCGCCGUCGACGGUGCGCCUGCCCAGGAGACGGGCCCCCGCCCCCACCGCCGCGUCCGCGCUCGCGGUGGAGGCGGACGCCGCCGCCGACAGGGUCUCGGCGCUGAGCCAGGUCUCCGGCGUGCUGGGGUCGCAGUGGGGCGACGAGGGGAAGGGGAAGCUCGUCGACGUGCUCGCCCCCCGCUUCGACAUCGUCGCGCGUUGCCAGGGUGGAGCAAAUGCUGGACACACCAUCUACAACUCUGAAGGCAAGAAAUUUGCCCUUCAUCUUGUUCCAUCUGGCAUUCUCCAUGAAGGAACACUGUGUGUUGUUGGCAACGGAGCGGUGAUCCAUGUUCCAGGGUUCUUUGGCGAAAUUGAUGGUCUUCAAUCCAAUGGAGUCAGUUGUGAUGGAAGAAUACUGGUGUCUGACCGGGCUCAUUUGCUCUUUGAUCUGCAUCAGACUGUAGAUGGACUUAGGGAAGCCGAGCUUGCAAAUUCCUUCAUAGGAACGACUAAGAGAGGAAUUGGACCUUGUUAUUCCAGCAAGGUCACUCGAAAUGGGCUGCGAGUUUGUGAUCUAAGGCACAUGGACACUUUUGGGGAUAAGCUUGAUGUUUUAUUUGAAGAUGCUGCUGCGAGGUUUGAAGGCUUCAAGUACAGCAAAGGCAUGCUCAAGGAAGAGGUUGAGAGGUACAAGAGGUUUGCAGAGCGUUUGGAGCCCUUUAUCGCUGACACUGUUCAUGUGUUGAAUGAAUCCAUCCGACAGAAGAAGAAAAUUCUGGUUGAAGGUGGUCAGGCAACUAUGCUGGAUAUCGAUUUUGGAACUUAUCCAUUUGUGACUUCUUCUAGCCCUUCCGCUGGUGGAAUUUGCACCGGCCUUGGGAUUGCCCCUAGGGUUAUUGGUGACCUGAUUGGAGUUGUAAAAGCUUACACAACAAGGGUUGGCUCUGGCCCUUUCCCAACUGAACUACUUGGAGAGGAAGGUGAUGUUCUUAGGAAGGCUGGAAUGGAAUUUGGAACGACUACAGGUCGCCCAAGACGUUGUGGCUGGCUUGACAUCGUUGCACUGAAAUACUGCUGUGACAUCAAUGGGUUUUCCUCUCUAAAUCUAACAAAACUUGAUGUUCUGUCCGGGUUACCAGAAAUUAAGCUGGGUGUUUCUUAUAAUCAAAUGGAUGGAGAGAAACUACAAUCCUUCCCAGGGGAUCUUGACACCCUGGAGCAAGUACAGGUAAACUAUGAGGUGCUUCCUGGGUGGGACAGCGACAUCUCUUCUGUCCGAAGUUACAGCGAACUCCCCCAAGCUGCCCGCCGUUACGUGGAGAGGAUAGAAGAGCUCGUCGGUGUUCCAGUCCACUACAUUGGUGUCGGGCCUGGGAGGGAUGCUCUGAUAUACAAGUGA
rnacentral:rRNA from 1 species